GGAGUUAGCCGGUGCUUCUUCUGUGAGUGAUGUCCUUCCUGCCGGCUAUUAACCCGCAGGCCUUCUUCCUCACUGAAAGUGCUUUACAACCCGAAGGCCUUCUUCACACACGCGGCAUGGCUGGAUCAGGGUUGCCCCCAUUGUCCAAUAUUCCCCACUGCUGCCUCCCGUAGGAGUCUGGGCCGUGUCUCAGUCCCAGUGUGGCUGAUCAUCCUCUCAGACCAGCUACGGAUCGUCGCCUUGGUGAGCCGUUACCUCACCAACCAGCUAAUCCGACAUAGGCUCAUCCGAUAGCGCGAGGACCGAAGGUCCCCCGCUUUCCCCCGUAGGGCGUAUGCGGUAUUAGCCUGGGUUUCCCCAGGUUAUCCCCCACUACCGGGCAGAUUCCUAUGCAUUACUCACCCGUCCGCCGCUCGCCACCAGGGAGCAAGCUCCCCGUGCUGCCGCUCGACUUGCAUGUGUUAGGCCUGCCGCCAGCGUUCAAUCUGAGCCAGGAGUCAAACUACUGA
rnacentral:rRNA from 1 species